AGAUUGAACGCUGGCGGCAGGCCUAACACAUGCAAGUCGAGCGGCAGCACGGGUACUUGUACCUGGUGGCGAGCGGCGGACGGGUGAGUAAUGCCUAGGAAUCUGCCUGGUAGUGGGGGAUAACGCUCGGAAACGGACGCUAAUACCGCAUACGUCCUACGGGAGAAAGCAGGGGACCUUCGGGCCUUGCGCUAUCAGAUGAGCCUAGGUCGGAUUAGCUAGUUGGUGAGGUAAUGGCUCACCAAGGCGACGAUCCGUAAC
rnacentral:rRNA from 1 species